rnacentral:rRNA from 1 species
AUACGGAGGAUCCAAGCGUUAUCCGGAAUCAUUGGGUUUAAAGGGUCCGUAGGCGGAUUAGUAAGUCAGUGGUGAAAGUUUGCGGCUUAACCGUAAAAUUGCCGUUGAUACUGCUAGUCUUGAAUGUUUGUGAAGUAGCUAGAAUAUGUAGUGUAGCGGUGAAAUGCUUAGAUAUUACAUGGAAUACCAAUUGCGAAGGCAGGUUACUAACAAAUGAUUGACGCUGAUGGACGAAAGCGUGGGGAGCGAACAGGAUUAGAUACCCUGGUAGUCCACGCCGUAAACGAUGGAUACUAGCUGUUCGGUAGCAAUACUGAGUGGCUAAGCGAAAGUGAUAAGUAUCCCACCUGGGGAGUACGGUCGCAAGACUGAA